GUGCAGCAGACGACAAUUAGCAGACAAAAAACAAGGAGUACGUCAAUUGAAAGUUAACACUUAACGAACUUGUGUGCUGCCUCUGCUUGUGAUUUCAUCAUAAUUUCUUCUUCUAAAGGCGAAUCCUUCCUUUCCCUGGUAAUGGAACAAAGAUAUUGGGUGGGAAAUCAGUCUAUGCAGCUACAAUCCUAGACGUUUAAUGUUUUGGAUGGAGAGAUUCUUAGCAAGGAAGGGAGCAUGGAAACUUUGUUUGCUCAUUUUGCACCCAUCUCGAACUGUGUCUGGUAUAUCCUCAUCAAGGGCUCUAAAGUGUCGUCUGUUUGCAACUGGAUCUGUUGAAGAAACUGACUUUCCAAA